rfam:Ordospora colligata OC4 contig_04, whole genome shotgun sequence.
GCUCCAGUAGCUCAGCUGGUUAGAGCGUUGUGCUAAUAACGCAAAGGUCUAGGGUUCGAAUCCCUGCUGGAGCA